GGGUCAAGAUGACGUAAGCUGGGUGCCACAGUGGGCGGAACGGGUGAGUAACACGUGAGCAAUCUGCCCCUGACUCUGGGAUAAGCGCUGGAAUCGGCGUCUAAUACUGGAUACGAACCGUGGAGGCAUCUUCAACGGUUGGAAAGAUUUUGUUGGUCAGGGAUGAGCUCGCGGCCUAUCAGCUUGUUGGUGAGGUAAUGGCUCACCAAGGCGUUCGACGGGUAGCCGGCCUUGAGAGGGUGACCGGCCACACUGGGACUGAGACACGGCCCAGACUCCUACGGGAGGCAGCAGUGGGGAAUAUUGCACAAUGGGCGAAAGCCUGAUGCAGCAACGCCGCGUGAGGGAUGACGGCCUUCGGGUUGUAAACCUCUUUUAGCAGGGAAGAAGCGAAAGUGACGGUACCUGCAGAAAAAGCGCCGGCUAACUACGUGCCAGCAGCCGCGGUAAUACGUAGGGCGCAAGCGUUAUCCGGAAUUAUUGGGCGUAAAGAGCUCGUAGGCGGUUUGUCGCGUCUGCUGUGAAAUCCCGAGGCUCAACUUCGGGUCUGCAGUGGGUACGGGCAGACUAGAGUGCGGUAGGGGAGAUUGGAAUUCCUGGUGUAGCGGUGGAAUGCGCAGAUAUCAGGAGGAACACCGAUGGCGAAGGCAGAUCUCUGGGCCGUAACUGACGCUGAGGAGCGAAAGGGUGGGGAGCAAACAGGCUUAGAUACCCUGGUAGUCCACCCCGUAAACGUUGGGAACUAGUUGUGGGGUCCAUUCCACGGAUUCCGUGACGCAGCUAACGCAUUAAGUUCCCCGCCUGGGGAGUACGGCCGCAAGGCUAAAACUCAAAGGAAUUGACGGGGACCCGCACAAGCGGCGGAGCAUGCGGAUUAAUUCGAUGCAACGCGAAGAACCUUACCAAGGCUUGACAUAUACGAGAACGCUGCAGAAAUGUAGAACUCUUUGGACACUCGUAAACAGGUGGUGCAUGGUUGUCGUCAGCUCGUGUCGUGAGAUGUUGGGUUAAGUCCCGCAACGAGCGCAACCCUCGUUUUAUGUUGCCAGCACGUAAUGGUGGGAACUCAUGGGAUACUGCCGGGGUCAACUCCGAAGAAAGUGGGGAUGAACGUCAAAUCAUCAUGCCCCCUAUGUCUUGGGCUUCACGCAUGCUACAAUGGCCGGUACAAAGGGCUGCAAUACCGUGAGGUGGAGCGAAUCCUCAACAAAGCCGGUCCUCAGUUCGGAUUGAGGUCUGCAACUCGACCUCAUGAAGUCGGAGUCAGCUAGUAAUCGUCAGAUCAGCAACGCUGCGGUGAAUACGUUCCCGGGUUUUGUACACACCGCCUGUCAAGUCAUGAAAGUGUUGGUACACCUUAAUUCCCGGGUUCACGAAGUCCGUUAAGCA
rnacentral:rRNA from 1 species